UCAACAAGACGAGAAGAGCCAGGAAGGUUAUCCAGAACGAGAGCAUGUUCAAAACCGGGAAUGCCAUGUCAUCCGCGCCGAUCUGAAUCGGCAGAAAAUAAUUGCCGAAUCCGCCCUGCGGCGCGGUCGUCAAGACAAAGAACACCAUGACGGUCCCGU
rnacentral:misc_RNA from 1 species